UUAAGGAAAAAUGCCUGCACCUUUCCCAAGGAGACUUUUUGAAUACCACACUUCGAUCACAAUUCACUAAUUGGAAGCACCUUCGCAAUACCAAAAAUAAAGAAAAAAAAUAAAACCAUUCAUAUAUGAAAUCGUAUCAUUCAUGGUUAGAUAGGCAUAAAUAUUAAGACAUUUCAACGUCGAAGACACCGCACUUGAAAGAAUCGAGGUGCUAUGCUAUCUUUCAAUAGCUUAAUAAGUUAGCCAAAUCA